GACAGAGAUAGAGAGAGAUAGGGGUGGAGAGAGACAGACAGAGACGGAGACAGAGAGAUACUGAGAGAGAGAGACAGAGACAAACAGAGACAGGGACCGAGAGAGACAGAGACAGAAGAGGGAGACAGAGACAGAGCGAAACAGAGACAGUGGGAAUGUGAAUCCCGGGCCCCUGCAGGGCUAUCUCGGUCCUGUGGUGCAGUGAUUUGCUGAGCACGGGGUGUGCCCUGCAUUGCUGGGGGCUGGGGUGGGAGUGGCUACAAAGUCAUUUCUCAUGGGAGGAACAUUUCCCUGUUGUUUCUAAACUCUCAGGAAACUGUCUGAUGUCUCUAAAGAAACCACUGUUGCCUGUGCUCGUGGAAAGCUGAUUCAGGAAGGGGUCUGGGGAGUCUGGGAUGUGGGUUUCCUGGCAGGUACACAUCCAGAUGGCCAGUUUCUGCCUUAACUGAUGACAUUCCACCACAAAAGAAGUGAAAAUGGCCUGUUCCUGCCUUAACUGAUGAUGACAUUACCUUAUGAACGUCCUUCUCCUGGCUCAUCCUGGCUCAAAAGCUCCCCUGCUGAGCACCUUGUGACUCCCACCCCUGCCUGCCAGAGAACAACCCCCCUUCUUCCUUUACCUACCCAAAUCUUAUAAAACAGCCCCACCCCUACCUCCCUUCGCUGACUCUCUUUUUGGACUCAGCCCGCCUGCAACCAGGUGAAAUAAACAGCCAUGUUGCUCCCACAAAGCCUGUUUGGUGGUCCUUUCACACGAACGUGCAUGAAAUUUGGUGCCGUGACUCAGAUCAGGGGACCUCCCUUAGGAGAUCAAUCCCCUGUCCUCCUGCUCUUUGCUCUGUGAGAAAGAUCCACCUACAACCUCGGGUCCUCAGACCGACCAGCCCAAGGAACAUCUCACCAAUUUUAAAUCCAGUAAGUGGCCUCUUUUUUACUCUCUUCUCCAACCUCCCUCACUAUCCCUCAACCUCUUUCUCCUUUCAAUCUUGGCGCCACCCUUCAAUCUCUCCCUUCUCUUAAUUUCAAUUCCUUUCAUUUCUUGUAGAGACAAAGGAGACACAUUUUAUCCAUUGACCCAAAACUCCGGCGCUGGUCACGGACUUGGGAAGGCAGCCUUCCCUUGGUGUUUAAUCAUUUAUGGGGACGCCUCUCUGAUUAUUCAUCCAUGUUCCACUGAUGUCUGAUCUCCGUGGGGAAGCCUGCCUUGGUCAUUCACCCACGUUCCCUUGGUGGCAGGUCAAUUGUGGGGACGCCUGCCUUGGCUGCUCCCCACAACCAAUUCUCCAUGCCUCUACCCUUCCCUUUAAACUUGCCUCCUUCACUAUGGGCAACUUUCCACCCUCCAUUCCUCCUUCUUCUCCCUUAGCCUAUGUUCUCAGGAACUUAAAACCUCUUCAACUCUCGCCUGACCUAAAAUCUAAGCGUCUUAUUUUCUUCUGCAACACCACUUGGCCCCAGUACAAACUUGACAAUGGCUCUAAAUGACCAGAAAACGGCACUUUCGAUUUCUCCAUCCUACAAGAUCUAAAUAAUUCUUGUCGUAAAAUAGGCAAACGGUCUGAAGUGCCUGACGUCCAGGCUUUCUUUCAUACAUCCCUAGUCUGUUCCCAAUGCAACUCAUCCCAAAUCUUCCUUCUUUCCCUCCCCUCAGUCCCAAUCCCAAGCGUUGCUGAGUCUUUCCUCUUUCCAAUCUUCCUUUUCUACAGACCCAUCUGACCCCUCCGCUCCUCCCCAGGCUGCUCCUCGCCAGACCGAGCUAGGUCCCAAUUCUUCAUCAGCCUCCGCUCCUCUACCCAAUAAUCCUUUUAUCACCUCCCCUCCUCACACCUGGUCUGACUUACAGUUUCGUUCCGUGACUAGCUCUCCCCCACCUGCCCAGCAAUUUCCUCUUAAAAAGGUGGCUGGAGCUAAAGGCAUAGUCAGGGUUAAUGCUCCUUUUCUUUACCCGACCUCUCCCAAAUCAGUUAGCGUUUAGGCUCUUUUUCAUCAAAUAUAAAAAUCCAGCCCAGUUCAUGGCUCGUUCGGCAGCAACCCUGAGAUGCUUUACAGCCCUAGACCCUGAAAGGUCAAAAGGUCAUCUUAUUCUCAAUAUACAUUUUAUUACCCAAUCCGCUCCCGACAUUAAAUAAAACUCCAAAAAUUAAAUUCCGGCCCUCAAACCCCACAGCAGGACUUAAUUGUACACCUCGCCUUCAAGGUGUACAAUAAUAAAGUAGAGGCAGCCAAGUAGCAAUGUAUUUCUGAGUUGCAAUUCCUUGCAUCCACUGUGAGACAAACCCCCGCCAUAUCUCCAGCACGCAAGAACUGGAACGCCUGAACCGCAGCUGCCAGGGUUUCCUCCAGGCCCGUUUACCCGAGAAGCUUGCUACAAGUGCCAGAAAUCUGGCCACCGGGCCAAGGAAUGCCCGCAACCCAGGAUUCCUCCUAAGCCGUGUCCCAUCUGUGCAGGACCCCACUGAAAAUCAGACUGUUCAACUCACCUGGCUGCCACUCCCAGAGCCCCUGGAACUCUGGCCCAAGGCUCUCUGACUCCUUCCCAAAUCUUCUCGGCUUAGCGCUUGAAGACUGACGCUGCCCGAUCACCUCAGAAGCCUCCUGGACCAUCACGGAUGCUGAGCUUCGGGUAACUCACAGUGGAAGCACCUCUUUCACAGACCCAGGACACGAAGAAAGCCAGAAGGUUUGGGGAUGGCUGGAUCUGCAGGACUGUUUUUCCUUCCCUAAAAGAGCACCUUGCCUUCCUGCAUGGACCACAGGAUGGUGUGUGUGGCCACAAAACCCAGAAGGUGAGGUGCUGAAAGAAAGCAAGCUGCUGGGAUCAUUCCUGCUUCAAAGCAGGUGAUGUGGCCACAGGCGCAUGGGAAGAAUGGUCCCAGAGACACAGGCAGCCAGCUGGGGUGGAAGGGCGUCCUGGGGACCCACCCCCUGGAGGGCUUCACAGAGAACAGAACCGCCUGGGGUGAGCUGGUGGAAAACAACAGAACUUCACACAGCCCCAACGAUCCAUUACCAGGACCCAGAACCUCAGCUUCAACGAGGCUCUGCUUGUCCCCAGUGACUGAAGCCUCCCAGGGCACUUAGCUGACCUGGGGAUGAUGGAGGGGAGUUGGGGCUUUCAUGCUGGCCUUCCAGGGAAGCCUUAGGGCUGGCCCAAGUCUGGAGGAAAAGCUGCAUGUAGGAGUGACACCAUCUUAAAGCCCAUUCUUUGGAAGCCAUCAUGAUGAAAAAUGGCACACACUGUUCUUCAAUCUCACCUCCCUCCAGCCUUCUCAAGCAAAGCAACAACAACACACUCAUCACCACUUCUAAGACACGAGAACUAACUUCAAACAAGCCAAUUGUGAAAUCCUGAUUUUUCUCCUUAAGUAAGUUAUGGAAUUAUUGAAAACCAUUAGGAAGGAAGGGCUGAUUCCUACCUAACUGGUCUCUCUUCAGUCUUCUCCCUGAGUUACACACUGAGACCUUUGCCACGACAGAAAUGACGUUCGUUUUAACCCCGGAUUCCUGGGCUUUAUGGUCAGGAGGGUUCUUCUAGGGCCCCCACUCACAGCAAGCCCUUUGUAAUUUUACACGUAAGUGAAAUCAACAGUGACUGUCUGCACAGGGGGUUAAAAGAGUUCCUGUCAGCAAAAGGGCAGAGACGUGAAACCGAACUCAGGACACUGCAAAGAUGCUUGGCUCCUGGCCCACUUGUGAUUAUCCCUCCUCCAUUCGAUUUAUUCACAAAGUGAGUGAGACUGAAUGGCUGGUUUCUAGCCAGAGGGGACUUCAAUAUUUGAGUGAGGGAGACAGGAAAAGACCCAAAAAUCGUUAGUGUCCCCACCCUAGGACACUGGCAUAUCCGUGACCUCUCUGAGUGCUCUGAGAAAAAUGAGGGAGGUUGGUGGGCACAGUGGCAGACAGGUGGCUGCUGGAGUCUCCCUCUUCCCACGGGACCCUCCUGUCCCUGGCACCACAAUCUCACCUCCUUUCUCACUUUUCAGUUGCAAGGAGGGAUGCAUGGUUUUUUUAGCAAAUAAAAUAUAAGACAUCUGGUUAAAUUUGAAUUUCAGAUAAAUAAUUACAAUUUUUAAAUGUAAGCUUGUCACUGUAUUUUAUCUGGUAACCCCUUGCAAGGAGCCUGCAGACCCCAAGCAAAUGUCUUCCCUUAAUCUAGAAAACACCUUCACCCAGGAUGGGAGCGACAUGAGCCAUCAGGCCUUUUAUUUGCUUUUAAUAUACUUUGGUGUGGGCAUAAGUAUCUUAAAUAAUUGAACCUGUAAUUGCACCAUAAAAACAAUGAUGCUAAUACAAAUAACAGCCAACAAGCAUGGAGCGCGUACUCUAUUGUUGUAGACACACGAGCCCCAGAAAAACUCUGUGCAGAGGAGAAAACUGAGCCACAGACAUGUUAGCAACUUGCUGAAUUAAAGACCUUUUGGUAGGUCUCUGAAACGCUCACACAGGACAAGCAGGUUUUUCCUACGUUUGCACAAAGCUCUGCUGACUGUAAGUCUUUCUCUCUGGUGUAGAUCUAUAUACACACAUAUGUGCAUGUGCAUCCUGCACAAAUAGUGUGUGUGAGAGAGGAAGUAACAGAGAGAGAGACAGACAGAGAGAGAAGGAGAAAAAAAUCACCCUGGACUUAGCUCUGGGCAUCAAAGAAGUGGCUUCAUCUUGACUUGCUGCCUCAACUGAUUGAAGCAAUCCCAAUAAUUGGUCAUGAUUUUUCUGCAAGGAUUCAGCUGCGUAUUUCUUGGUGUGGGGACAGAGGAUGAACCCCUCAGGCUUUCCUCUCACUAUGGUGUCUCUGGUGGGAACAGCUGGGGAUGCAAAGCCAUUAUGAUGUCGGAUAGGAGAGAAACCUGCUGUGCCCUCAGCCCUUGAGGAUUGCUUGGUGAGAAUGCGGAGCCAGGUCCAUCCCAGGAGGAAAAGGCCCAAACUCUAGGCAGCUUCUCCCAGGGACUUCACAGACACUUUUUAUGUCUUGAAUACCUGCAUUCCCAGACCCAAACCCACAGUUCCCAGUUCAAACACCUGGUUCUAGUGCCUUUUCCGCUGCCCAGGGAUGCCCCAGGUGCCACCGCUCCCAGUCUCUCCAAGUCUUUACGCAAAUAUAAAGAACUUCUCACUGGCAGGGAAUAAUUCUUACAAGGCUGUGUGGCAAAUGGAAAGUUUUUUUUUUUCAGCAAAACAAAGAUUCUUUUAACAUUUGUAGAAAGUCAUUCAAGGAACUGUUUCUGAAGGCACUACUUUGGAGUUUGGACUGAGUGUGGGAGAGUGCGGGGUGAGGGUGUGUGGACAACAGGGUGUCUUUGCCUGACAUGAAAAUUUAAAAAACAAAGAAAUAAAGGGGGUACUUGAGGGUGAAAGAUAAACUCACAAACAAGUCAAUAAACUUCCUUUUCAGAGUUACUGAGCACACAGGUGACUUUUACUGAUUUAUUUAUUUUUACUGGCAUUAUAGUUUACUUUAUUCUCCUUUCUAAAUAGUUUUCACAGAAAGAAAAUGCUGA
rnacentral:lncRNA from 10 species